CAUGAAUAUCAUUGAAUGAAACAAUUAACGAGCUAAGGGAAAAAGAAGAGAGUUCACUUUAUACAUAACUAGUUUCUGCCCCACAGUAUUCGCUGAGACACAAUCAAAUACCCCAAUUGAAAUGUCUUGUGAAGAAGCUACAAGUAUCGAAAAUAUGCAGUCCAAUUUGUCGAUUCACAUCCCCAAAGAGAACUGUCAAAGGGAAGAAAUUCCUGCGGAUGAAAUCGUAACUGAUGAGGAGAAGGAAAAAUCUAAUGGGGAAGAAGAACACGAUGAAGGUUAUCUACUAGUGGUUAGUCAAUGGAAGCCUCAAACAGAGGAAAUACUCAAUAUGGAAUAGAAAACUUAUAGGAACUAACUACAAGUAUUGGAGAAUGCCAAAUCCCGAAGGAAAUUGAAGAUCAAGUGCGGAAAAGCUCUCUUUACUUUGAUGACUUCUAUAAACAAGGAGUUUACUGAUCAUGUUCGUGAUGUUUGCUCUCCAAAAGAAGUUUGGGACACGCUCAAAAGAUUGUUUACCAAGAAAAAUACAACGAGGCUGCAACUUUUGGAUAAUGAGUUGGCAAUGUUACAAUAGGGAGGUAUGUCAGUCUCAGAUUACUUUUUGCAAGUUAAAAGUAUAUGUGCUGAAAUUUCAGAGAUUGAUCCAGAAGAGAAGAUUAGCGAGUCACGCCUACAACGCUAUCUUAUUCAUGGAUUCAAAAAGGUAUACGACCUUUUGUCACUUCCAUUCAAGGAUGGCCGCAACAACCAUCUGUUGAGGAAUCGGAGAACAUGCUUUCUAAUCAAGAAGCCUUAGCUUAACAAAUGGCUAAGAACGUUAAAUCUGAUAAUGUUCUAUUUUCUAAAAGAAAGUCGAACAAUAAGAAUACAUCAACUUGGAACAAAAAUAAAGAGAAAGAAACAAGAAUGGAAAAAGGUGGAAAUCCACACAACACCAAAAAGUGCUACAGAUGUGGAAAAAUUGGGCACAUCAAGAAAAAUUGUCGAGUAAAACUUUCCAAACCAAUGUCACGUGCACCAACAAAGGAGAUGAGCAAAUGAAAUGGGAGAAAUCUUUUAGCAUCGAAGUUGUUGAACAAAAGUUAGCACAAGAUUUUGUCAAUUAUGCCAACAAAUAAUAAGAGGGAAGAGUGGAUCGUUGAUUCAGGGUGCUAUCAUCAUGUAACUGGAGAUGAUUCUCUAUUCUCGGAGAUGUGAGAUAAUCAUGUAGUUUGAUUCAUUAUCACAGCUGAUAACUCGACAUGUCCAGUAGCAAAAGAAGGUGUUGUGAAGAUUGAGGUUGUUGGUGACAAAUCCAGAAGUAUCAAAUUGCAGGAUGUUUAUCAAGUUCUGGGUUUGAUGAAAAAUCAAGUCUCAGUUCCUCAAAUUAUUGAUUAUGGAAAAUAUGUAUUAUUUGGUCCUAGUGAUGUGAAGGUGCUUGAAAAUGUAAAAUAAGUAUUUGUUGAUGUUAUUUUUACUCGUGAAAAAGAAAUGUUCUUUGUUUGUUAUGCUA